rnacentral:lncRNA from 1 species
GGCGUUGCAUCAUUUUCUUCUAUUGUCAUGAUUGUCUUAAUUGCAAAUAUGGGAAGUGGUUAAAAUGCUAAUGAGACAGCUAUUAUAAAUGACCACCAGAUGUCAUUGUUUUCUUAAUUAAAAACUCCUCUUUCAUUCAUACCAGUAAAUUACUUUAUCAUGUUUAUACUGAAAAAUAAUUUUGCUUGGAGUUAGAAAAAAUAUGGUCAUCAAAAGAGUUGACAUGUUACUAUGUACAUUUACCAUUAUGUUACUUGAUGUUCUUGCAAUACACACAGUACGGUGACUAGUCAAUCUUUGUGAACUACUUUUCAUAGGAUGGGAGUCAUUGAAUAUGCGUAUAUAAUCAAUAAUUAAAAAUAGUCUACUUAUGUUAAUAAGGAAAAGUUCUUUUAUGUCUUAAAAAUGCAUUUCAUGGCGAGGUACAGAAAAUAUACUGAAACAGUAGACUAUGGGUGACUAUAGGUGAACUAGGUACAAGAGAACUCUUAAUCUUAAAUACUACAAACCACCUCUGUACUAUGGAAGAUAAUGAUAUAACUGGACUAGAAAUACACACAACCUGUAAUUAACUGCCUUUACAGCGCUUUCG